rnacentral:lncRNA from 1 species
AUGGCAUGGCACCGGGUUAGCCCUGCUGCGACCUCACUGUUCCAUCAGCAACAGCUCACAAAGCAUCACCUAAAGCAGCCUUGUGCCAGCUCACGCUGUCACCCACACUCAGACCUGCCUGUGUGCUGCUUUCCCCUCGUCGCUGGUCCUCGUUGCAGCACCUCCGUGAGACACUUUUAUCACCAGGCUGUGCAGGUCACUGGGUGCCUACCUCUGCUUUGCCUCCUGCCCUGGAUGCCAGAGGGAGGUGGGACCCCUGUGCAGCCCUCGGCUGGGACCACGCAGCUCUGCUCGGACACUGAGGAGUUACCUUGUGCACGCAGCCCCAGAGAUCGUGACACAGCCACCCUGCCGGACUCCUGGGUCUGGAGGCAGGACAAGAGGCUCUGCACGGAGCAUCCUAGUGCAAGGCACAAGGAACAACGGAAAUAA